UAUUAUUUAAUGGUUUUAAUAGCUUUGGCAUGUCUGUAUAAAAUCAGCAGUAAUACGAAUUUUAGUUAUAUAGAAGUAAGAAAGCCCACAAAACUCUUGUUUUUCUAGGGUUUUUAAUAUAAAUGAUCACUGUUACAAACACCUAAUAAGCCCUGGUAAAUCUAAUAGAAAAUAUUACGAACAAACGUCGAAAAAAAACACUGAUAA